rnacentral:lncRNA from 1 species
GGGAGAUCAAUUACCGAAUUAUGUCAGCGAAUCUCUAAAAACAGUUCCAGAAAACAAUGAAGAAGGCGAUAUUGAAGACGAUCAAUCCACAGAAUGGAAUAAUAGUGACGAGGAGUAUGGAUGUAUUGACGACGACGAUGAAAA